rnacentral:lncRNA from 1 species
GUCCUUCUCUGUGAGCUCAUCUUAGGGCAGAGCAGACUCAGAGAUGGGGAAGAGCCUCCAUUUACAUCCUGGCUGCUCCCAUUCCAUCACUUCCAUCACUCUGGAAUCUGUAGGGAAGCAGGCCAGUCCUCUGCCCUGAGGCUGAGGCAGGGGCGGUCCGGGCAGAACAGUUGCCAAGUUUCCGCCUCUGCAAGGCACACCAUGGUGAACAAAAAUGCCAAAUCCUCCUCCAGAUCCCCAGAAAGAGCCAGCUCUCCUGUUUGUCUCUCGUGGACUGCUGUGACCUGUGACCAGACAUAAUCACGGCCUUGAAAGUGGGUACUGCUGCACCUACUCCUGCCGAAGUCCAGCAGGAGUGGCUCAUGCUCUCUGACCCCAUCCUGACCACAAGGAAGUCUGGAGUGUUCCCAAGAUAGUGGCUUUUCCCAGUCCUCACCUGCCCGUGAAGCCAUCUCCCCUUCAGGCCGUAGUACAUUGACCUUCUUCACCUUCAAUAGCACAAACAUUCCAUUUCUGCUUGAGCCAACCCAGCUUUAUUCUCCAAGGGCCCAUGAGCCUGCUGAGAUAGCUAAAAGUUGUUAACCUCUUGUUGCUUGCAGAGACUGAGCCUUAGGUAUAGACUGUGGUGGGUGGGAAUAAUUCCAUUCUAAGUGGUCUUCAAGGAACAAAACAAACCCAAGUGAAGGACUUCUGGAUUCAGCUGCAACAUGCAAAGAGCUUGGAAAUCACCACUCCCACCCUUAUAACAAGAGAAGGCUGAACACACCGAAAAUCAACAGUGCUUCUUUGACCCAUUAAAGAAUUGAGGUCACAGGGCAAACCCUCCACCCUGAAAUGUGAAGAGGGAGGCACACCCAGGAAGUCACAGCCAAGAUAUGCUUACCCGAAGCAGAAGCUGCUGGAGUAGUAAGCUAGGAGGACACUUAAGUGGUCAUUUUGAUUGGUUGCUGGAGGCUGAGUGUGACUAGACUAGACUAGAGUAAGAAGCUCCUGGGGGCCACAGACUUAGGGGAUCCCUAUACUUUCACGGGUUUUACCUCCAGGGGCCCCACCACUUGAGUGAAAAGCCAAGAAAAACCCACUUGUUUCUGACAGGAAGUAGGGAAAGUAAGCAUUGAAAAUACACCUACAGAUAGAGGCUUCUCCCUAACAAAGACCAACACAGCAGAGGGAAAUUCUUUACCAGAGCAGCAUAUAACCUCAGGGGGAGGGAAGUUUUCCAGUUCCAGCCCCCUUCAGCAUGUCUCAUCUAAGUGGGGAAGAGGAAACACUAAGAAGCCCAUAUGAAGUCACAUCCAGGGCAUAGGCCUAAAGGACUGAGAUUUAAUCAUAAGAUUAUAAAACACUCCUCCUCCCCAAUACUUUAUCACCACACCAAAAGAGCUCUAUUGCAAUAACAGUGGCUUAUAGUUGAAAUGCUGCAAAGUAUAAACUGUAUUUAAAAACAAGUUCUUAGGGAAGCCCAAAGAUAAGAGAAAAGGUAUUGGGUAGUGAUAGUAUAAGGAUAUCCAUAAUAAAUAACAGCAACCUUAUAAUGGACAAGAGGAGGACACUGGGGUUACUCUAUUAUAUGGUGCACUACAUGUGAAAUGAUAUGGUGUUAUUUGAAAGUGGAUUUAGAUUGUGGUAAAUGCAUAUUGCAAACUCUAAGGAAACUACUUAGAAAAUCAAAAACAAAGAAAAAGUCUUAAAAAAAGCCGGAAGAAAAAGGAUACCUUACAUAUAGAAAAACAAGGAUCAGAAUUACACUGGACUUCUCUUUAGAAACUGUGCAAGCAAGAAGAGAGUACAGUGAAAUAUUCAGAGUGUUGAAAGAAAAAAUAUCCACCAACCUAGAAUUCUAUAUCCAACAAAAUUAUCCUUCAGCACGAAGGAUAAAUACUUUCUCAGACAAAUAAAAAAUCAGAGAAUGUCACUGAUCAUUAGAGAAAUGCAAAUCAAAAACACGAUGAGAUACCAUCUCACAUCAGUCAGAAUGGCUAUUAUUAAAAAGUAAAAAAAUAACAGAUGCUGGUGAGGUUGUGGAGCAAAGGGAAUGCUUAUACACCAUUGGUGGAAGGUAAAUUAGUUCAGCCACUGUGAAAAGCAGUAUGAAGAUUCCUCAAAGAGUUAAAAACAGAAUUACCAUUCGACCCAGCAAUCCCAUUACUGGGUAUAUACCCAGAGGAAUAUAAAGAAUUCGACCAUAAAGACAUAUGCACAUGAAUGUUCAUGGUGGCACUGUUCACAAUAGCAAAGAUGUGGAAUUAACCUAAAUGCCCAUCAAUGACAGACUGGAUUAAAAAAAUGUGGUACAUAUAUACCAUGGUAUACUAUGCAGCCAUGAAAAAGAAUGAGGUCAUGUCUUUUGUGAAAUGUGGAUGGACCUGGAGACCAUUACCCUUGGCAAACUAAUGAAGGAACAGACAACCAAAUACUGCAUGUUCUUACUUAUAAGUGGAAGCUAAAUGAUGAGAACUCAUGAACACAGAGAAGGAAACAACAAACACUGGGAUCUACUUGAAGAUGGAGGGAGGGAGGAGGGAGAGGAACAGAAAAAAUAACUGAAAUGAAAUAAUCUGUACAACAAAUCCCCAGGACAUAAGUUUAUCUAUAUAACAAACCUUCACACAUACCCCCAAACCUGAAAUAAAAGUUAAAAAAAAAAAUUAGAGGUUGUAUCACUAGCAGACUUACUCUGCAAGAAAAGUUAAAACAAUUUCUUUAGAGGAAAAAAAUGACAUAGUCAAAUACUAAGAUCUACGUAAAAAGGAGCAUCAGAG